GACGAACGCUGGCGGCGUGCUUAACACAUGCAAGUCGAACGAUGAAGCGGCCAGCUUGCUGGUGGUGGAUUAGUGGCGAACGGGUGAGUAACACGUGAGUAACCUGUCCUUCACUCUGGGAUAAGCCCUGGAAACGGGGUCUAAUACUAGAUAUUCUCAAUGUGCCGCAUGGUGUGUUGUGGAAAGAUUUUUUGGUGAGGGUUGGACUCGCGGCCUAUCAGCUUGUUGGUGGGGUAGUGGCCUACCAAGGCUUUGACGGGUAGCCGGCCUGAGAGGGUGACCGGCCACACUGGGACUGAGACACGGCCCAGACUCCUACGGGAGGCAGCAGUGGGGAAUAUUGCACAAUGGGCGCAAGCCUGAUGCAGCGACGCCGCGUGGGGGAUGAAGGCCUUCGGGUCGUAAACUGCUUUUAUGAGUGAAGAAUAUGACGGUAACUCAUGAAUAAGGACCGGCUAACUACGUGCCAGCAGCCGCCGUAACAC
rnacentral:rRNA from 1 species